UAGGAAAUAGAACACUCUUUGAGUUGCUGCAAAGAAUGUGGACACACUCUUGAGAAUGUUGAAGUUGAAGCUUAUGAGAAAAGACAGGUCUUUGAUAUUC
rfam:Methanosarcina acetivorans str. C2A, complete genome.